GUCCUCUUCGGAGUGACAUAUACAAAAAUUGGAACGAUACAGAGAAGAUUAGCAUGGCCCCUGCACAAGGAUGACACGCUAGUUCAGAGUGGACGGUCUACGGACCGCAAUAUUUAUUUUU
rfam:Rhizoctonia solani AG-1 IA unplaced genomic scaffold scaffold3, whole genome shotgun sequence.